GACCGCGUAGCUCGGUUGGCAGAGCGUUGGGCUAGUACUAAUUCCAAAGGUAGUAGGUUCGAUUCCCACCGUGGCCA
rnacentral:tRNA from 1 species